UCCUUAGUAGCUCAGUCAGUAAAGUAUCUGCCUGCAAUGCAGGAGACCAGGGUUCGAUCCCUGGGUUAGGAA
rnacentral:tRNA from 1 species